CCCUACGGGGCGCAGCAGGCGAAUCUGCAACAAACUUUGCUGCGCAUCAGCGGCGCGAUUCAGGUGCUGGAUGAAUUGUUGAGCACCGCACCCCAACCAGAGUCCGCCGGCGAUGCACCAAUGGAUUUGCCCGUAGCGUCCGGCAGCGUUCCGCUGAAAGCGGCCCAGUAACCCUCGACCACUUCACCUCGGCGCCGGACCAUAUCAACCCUCUUGCAAGUAGUCCAGGGCGAAGCAGUGAUAGUCAUGCUGGAUUUCUGAGCCGGACUUUACCCAUUCUGCAACAAAAGUAAGAUAAAUUACCUCAGCGACACCACAAGGCCGUGGCAGGACGCCAGGCUGCAGAGCAAGCUUGGCUACCAUGCCGAGUUCAAUCCUGCCUCUGACAAGGGCUUUUCAAUUGAGUUGUAAGAAUAUGUAAUAUGUAGAUCGGGAGGGC
rnacentral:rRNA from 1 species